GAUGAAGAACGUAGCGAAAUGCGAUAAGUAAUGCGAAUUGCAGAAUUUCCGUGAGUCAUCGAAUCUUUGAACACACAUUGCGCCCACUGGUAUUCCGGUGGGCAUGCCUGUUCGAGCGUCAUUAUCCUCCCUCAAACCCCGGGUUUGGUGUUGGACCCAAGUUGUGUGAACAACUGGUCUUAAAGACAAUGACGGCGUCCGUGGGACCCUCGGUGCAACGAGCUUUUAGGAGCACGCAUCGAGUUGCAAGGACCUUCCGGGCCGGUCUCCUUUACUAUUUUACAAGGUUGACCUCGGAUCAGGUAGGAAUACCCGCUGAACUUAAGCAUAUCAAUAAGCGGAGGA
rnacentral:misc_RNA from 1 species